rnacentral:rRNA from 1 species
UGCUAUACAUGCAGUCGAGCGAACAGAUGAAAAGCUGUGCUUCUCUGAUGUUAGCGGCGGACGGGUGAGUAACACGUGGGUAACCUACCUAUAAGACUGGGAUAACUCCGGGAAACCGGGGCUAAUACCGGAUAAUAUUUUGAACCGCAUGGUUCAAUAGUGAAAGACGGUUUCGGCUGUCACUUAUAGAUGGACCCGCGCCGUAUUAGCUAGUUGGAAAGGUAAUGGCUUACCAAGGCGACGAUACGUAGCCAACCUGAGAGGGUGAUCGGCCACACUGGAACUGAUACACGGUCCAGACUCCUACGGGAGGCAGCAAUAGGGAAUCUUCCGCAAUGGGCGAAAGCCUGACGGAGCAACGCCGCGUGAGUGAUGAAGGUCUUCGGAUCGUAAAACUCUGUUGUUAGGGAAGAACAAAUUUGUUAUUAACUGAACAAGUCUUGACGGUACCUAACCAGAAACCCACGGCUAACUACGUGCCAGCAGCCGCGGUAAUACGUAGGUGGCAAGCGUUAUCCGGAAUUAUUGGGCGUAAAGCGCGCGUAGGCGGUUUCUUAAGUCUGAUGUGAAAGCCCACGGCUCAACCGUGGAGGGUCAUUGAAAACUGGGAAACUUGAGUGCAGAAGAGGAGAGUGGAAUUCCAUGUGUAGCGGUGAAAUGCGCACAGAUAUGGAGGAACACCAGUGGCGAACGCGUCUCUCUGGUCUGUAACUGACGCUGAUGUGCGAAAGCGUGGGGAUCACACUGGAUUAGAUACCCUGGUAGUCCACGCCGUACACGAUGAGUGCUAAGUGAUAGGGGGUUUCCGCCCCUUAGUGCUGCAGCUAACGCAUUAAGCACUCCGCCUGGGGAGUACGACCGCAAGGUUGAAACUCAAAGGAAUUGACGGGGACCCGCACAAGCGGUGGAGCAUGUGGUUUAAUUC